rnacentral:rRNA from 1 species
GACGAACGCUGGCGGCGUGCCUAAUACAUGCAAGUAGAACGCACAGUUUAUACCGUAGCUUGCUACACCAUAGACUGUGAGUUGCGAACGGGUGAGUAACGCGUAGGUAACCUGCCUGGUAGCGGGGGAUAACUAUUGGAAACGAUAGCUAAUACCGCAUAAUAUUGAUUAUUGCAUGAUAAUUGAUUGAAAGAUGCUAUUGCAUCACUACCAGAUGGACCUGCGUUGUAUUAGCUAGUAGGUGAGGUAACGGCUCACCUAGGCGACGAUACAUAGCCGGCCUGAGAGGGUGAUCGGCCACACUGGGACGGAGACACGGCACAGACUCCUACAGGAGGGAGCAGGAGGGAAUCUUCGGGAAUGGACGAAAGUCUGACCGAGCAACGCCGCGGGAGUGAAGAAGGUUUUCGGAUCGUAAAGCUCUGUUGUAAGGGAAGAAAGGGUGUGAGAGUGGAAAGUUCACACUGUGACGGUAUCUUACCAGAAAGGGACGGCUAACUACGUG